ACAAUAUUCGGGCCGUCGGUCUACCGAGCAAUAUCACCAACUCAGUGGAAGAUCUUCCCUUUGUCAU
rnacentral:pre_miRNA from 1 species